UACCACCCUUGUAUGUUUGAUGUUCUAACUUAGACCCGUUAUCCGGGUUGAGGACAGUGCCUGGUGGGUAGUUUGACUGGGGCGGUCUCCUCCCAAAGAGUAACGGAGGAGCACGAAGGUGGGCUAAUCACGGUUGGACAUCGUGAGGUUAGUGCAAUGGCAUAAGCCCGCUUAACUGCGAGAAUGACGGUUCGAGCAGGUGCGAAAGCAGGUCAUAGUGAUCCGGUGGUUCUGUAUGGAAGGGCCAUCGCUCAACGGAUAAAAGGUACUCCGGGGAUAACAGGCUGAUACCGCCCAAGAGUUCAUAUCGACGGCGGUGUUUGGCACCUCGAUGUCGGCUCAUCACAUCCUGGGGCUGAAGUCGGUCCCAAGGGUAUGGCUGUUCGCCAUUUAAAGUGGUACGCGAGCUGGGUUUAGAACGUCGUGAGACAGUUCGGUCCCUAUCUGCCGUGGGCGUUGGAAGAUUGAAGGGGGCUGCUCCUAGUACGAGAGGACCGGAGUGGACGAACCUCUGGUGUUCGGGUUGUGUCGCCAGACGCAUUGCCCGGUAGCUAAGUUCGGAAUUGAUAAGCGCUGAAAGCAUCUAAGCGCGAAGCGAGCCCUGAGAUGAGUCUUCCCUGAUACUUUAAGUAUCCUAAAGGGUUGUUCGAGACUAGAACGUUGAUAGGCAGGGUGUGUAAGCGUUGUGAGGCGUUGAGCUAACCUGUACUAAUUGCCCGUGAGGCUUAACCAUACAACACCCAAGG
rnacentral:rRNA from 1 species